ACCAAGCUGCAAACUGGUGGCUCUGGUGGAGUUUCCAGCAGAAAAGUGGAGGAAAAGUAGUUCCCAGCAAAACUAACACCCCCAAGGAUGGAGAAGAAGAGAAGAAGUUUAUCAGAAAAAUGUCCUGGCAAAACCAGAGCUCAUUUUUGGACCAACUCCCCCCCCAGAAGCAAGCUUUUUAGGAUUUACUGCCCCCCAGCUGCAGGGUCCAAACCUAAAGGUACCUGGAAGCUCCAGCAAAGAACACGAGUGACCCACUUGAUGCCAGCAAGGACCAGCCAAGGCAGCUUCACCACUGAGCUGGUGGAAAAGAAGCCACC